rnacentral:snRNA from 1 species
GUGACGGUUCGGUCUAAGUGGGUU